CUUUACGUCAUCUCAAUAGUCGGGUCCCUUGUGUCAAUCCGCUCGCUCUAACUUUUACUAAAUUUUCAGUUAUCA